CAUGCAGAGUAGGAAAACUAGAGCACUCUCCACAAUUCAAAAAUAAUAAAAAAAUAUUAAAAAAUUUAAAUAUUUUUUAAAAUAUAUAUAAAAAAUUUAUAUUAAAAUUGAUUAAUUUAUAUUAAAAUUGUAUGCAUAUUCAUCCCUAUACAUAUAAAAGAGACGGAGAAAACUUGACUACCUUCUAAAAUUCAAAAACAUUCGACCAAAAUUGAUAGAAAAAUUGAGAUAUUUUUACAAGUUAUGUUAAAAAAGAAAUUUAUGAUACAAUCAAUAUAUUUAUGUUAAAAUUGUAC
rnacentral:lncRNA from 1 species